rnacentral:tRNA from 1 species
GGGCGGUUAGCUCAGAGGCCUAGAGCGCUGCGUUGACAUCGCAGAGGUCACUGGUUCGACUCCAGUACCGCCCACCA